GCAGCAGUGAGGAAUAUUGGUCAAUGGGCGGGAGCCUGAACCAGCCAAGUAGCGUGAAGGACGACGGCCCUACGGGUUGUAAACUUCUUUUAUAAGGGAAUAAAGUUCGCCACGUGUGGUGUUUUGUAUGUACCUUAUGAAUAAGCAUCGGCUAAUUCCGUGCCAGCAGCCGCGGUAAUACGGAAGAUCCGAGCGUUAUCCGGAUUUAUUGGGUUUAAAGGGAGCGUAGGCGGGCUUUUAAGUCAGCGGUCAAAUGUCGUGGCUCAACCGUCAAAUUGCCGUUGAAACUGUAAGCCUUGAGUCUGCACAGGGCACAUGGAAUUCGUGGUGUAGCGGUGAAAUGCUUAGAUAUCACGAAGAACUCCGAUCGCGAAGGCAUUGUGCCGGGGCAUAACUGACGCUGAGGCUCGAAAGUGCGGGUAUCAAACAGGAUUAGAUACCCUGGUAGUCCGCACGGUAAACGAUGAAUGCUCGCUAUGGGCGAUAUAUUGUCCGUGGCCAAGCGAAAGCGUUAAGCAUUCCACCUGGGGAGUACGCCGGCAACGGUGAAACUCAAAGGAAUUGACGGGGGCCCGCACAAGCGGAGGAACAUGUGGUUUAAUUCGAUGAUACGCGAGGAACCUUACCCGGGCUUGAAUUGCAGGUGCAUGAGUCAGAGAUGAUUCUUUCCUUCGGGACUCCUGUGAAGGUGCUGCAUGGUUGUCGUCAGCUCGUGCCGUGAGGUGUCGGCUUAAGUGCCAUAACGAGCGCAACCCUUCUCCCCAGUUGCCAUCGGGUAAUGCCGGGCCCUCUGGGGACACUGCCAUCGUAAGAUGCGAGGAAGGUGGGGAUGACGUCAAAUCAGCACGG
rnacentral:rRNA from 1 species